AUUGAACGCUGGCGGAAUGCUUUACACAUGCAAGUCGAGCGGCAGCACGGGGGCAACCCUGGUGGCGAGCGGCGAACGGGUGAGUAAUACAUCGGAACAUGCCCAGUCGUGGGGGAUAACACUUCGAAAGAAGUGCUAAUACCGCAUACGUCCUGAGGGGGAAAGCGGGGGAUCGCAAGACCUCGCGCGAUUGGAGUGGCCGAUGUCAGAUUAGCUAGUUGGUGGGGUAAAGGCCUACCAAGGCAACGAUCUGUAGCUGGCCUGAGAGGAUGAUCAGCCACACUGGGACUGAGACACGGCCCAGACUCCUACGGGAGGCAGCAGUGGGGAAUUUUGGACAAUGGGGGCAACCCUGAUCCAGCCAUUCCGCGUGAGUGAAGAAGGCCUUCGGGUUGUAAAGCUCUUUCGGCAGGAACGAAACGGUGAGCUCUAACAUAGCUUGCUAAUGACGGUACCUGAAGAAGAAGCACCGGCUAACUACGUG
rnacentral:rRNA from 1 species